rnacentral:lncRNA from 1 species
GUUCCAGAACAGAAAAUGCUGGUGGACGUCACUUGUUGCCCCCAAGAUCUUCGUUGGGAGUCCUCAGGACUUGAUGUCUUUAAUGAACUCGCCAGGAGGCAUAAUGUAUCACCAGUUUUAUUCUGGGCCACCCUAAUGGAUGACACCCAGCUUCAGAGACUUCCUCUUGGACAUCGUCCCUGUCAGCCAGUGUGUUAGCCAUCCCAUUGAGCUAGGCUUAGGCACAGUGCACACAUCCAUUCUUUCUGUGUUGGCGGUUGCCCAGCAGCAUAACCUGGAGUCAAGACUAGAUUCAUCUUGCACAGACUUGUUCCUGCUGGUUCUGGCCUGUCUCUCACCACAAGUUGAGCUUUCAAAUACACCAGUGAUAGGUUUUGCAUAG